ACUGCUCAGUAACACGUGGACAACCUGCCCUUAGGUUGGGUAUAAACCCGGGAAACUGGGUAUAAUACCCGAUAGGUCUCGAUUGCUGGAAUGCAUCGAGAUUUAAAGCUCCGGCGCCUAAGGAUGGGUCUGCGGCCUAUCAGGUAGUAGUGGGUGUAGCGUACCUACUAGCCUACGACGGGUACGGGUUGUGAGAGCGAGAGCCCGGAGAUGGAUUCUGAGACACGAAUCCAGGCCCUACGGGGUGCAGCAGGCGCGAAAACUUUACAAUGCUGGCAACAGCGAUAAGGGAACCUCGAGUGCCAGGUUACAAAUCUGGCUGUCGAGAUGCCUAAAAAGCAUUUCAUAGCAAGGGCCGGGCAAGACCGGUGCCAGCCGCCGCGGUAACACCGGCGGCUCGAGUGGUAACCGUUAUUAUUGGGUCUAAAGGGUCUGUAGCCGGCCGGAUAAGUCUCUUGAGAAAUCUGGCAGCUUAACUGUCAGGCUUUCAGGAGAUACUGUCUGGCUCGAGGCCGGGAGAGGUGAGAGGUACUUCAGGGGUAGGGGUGAAAUCUUGUAAUCCUUGAAGGACCACCAGUGGCGAAGGCGUCUCACCAGAACGGACCUGACGUCAAGGGACGAAAGCUAGGGGCACGAACCGGAUUAGAUACCCGGGUAGUCCUAGCCGUAAACGAUGCGCGUUAGGUGUAUCGAUGACCACGAGUCAUCGAGGUGCCGAAGGGAAACCGUGAAACGCGCCGCCUGGGAAGUACGGUCGCAAGGCUGAAACUUAAAGGAAUUGGCGGGGGAGCAC
rnacentral:rRNA from 1 species